CGCCUGCCCUGUGACAAAGAUUUAACGGCCGCGGUAUUUUGACCGUGCAAAGGUAGCGCAAUCACUUGUCUUUUAAAUGAAGACCUGUAUGAAUGGCACGACGAGGGCUUAACUGUCUCCUUUUUCCAGUCAAUGAAAUUGAUCUUCCCGUGCAGAAGCGGGGAUAUAACCAUAAGACGAGAAGACCCUAUGGAGCUUUAGACACAAGACAGAUCUUGUUAAACACUUCAAAAUAAAGAAACAAACUAAAAGUAACCCUGCCCUUUUGUCUUUGGUUGGGGCGACCACGGGAAGACAAACAACCCCCACGCGGACUGAGAAAACAGUUCUCACAACCAAGAGCCACAGCUCUAAUUAACAGAAAUUCUGACCUCAAGAUCCGGCAACGCCGAUCAACGGACCGAGUUACCCUAGGGAUAACAGCGCAAUCCCCUUUUAGAGUCCAUAUCGACAAGGGGGUUUACGACCUCGAUGUUGGAUCAGGACAUCCUAAUGGUGCAGCAGCUAUUAAGGGUUCGUUUGUUCAACGAUUAAAGUCCU
rnacentral:rRNA from 1 species